AGUCGAACGGUAACAGGAAGCAGCUUGCUGCUUCGCUGACGAGUGGCGGACGGGUGAGUAAUGUCUGGGAAACUGCCUGAUGGAGGGGGAUAACUACUGGAAACGGUAGCUAAUACCGCAUAACGUCGCAAGACCAAAGAGGGGGACCUUCGGGCCUCUUGCCAUCGGAUGUGCCCAGAUGGGAUUAGCUAGUAGGUGGGGUAACGGCUCACCUAGGCGACGAUCCCUAGCUGGUCUGAGAGGAUGACCAGCCACACUGGAACUGAGACACGGUCCAGACUCCUACGGGAGGCAGCAGUGGGGAAUAUUGCACAAUGGGCGCAAGCCUGAUGCAGCCAUGCCGCGUGUAUGAAGAAGGCCUUCGGGUUGUAAAGUACUUUCAGCGGGGAGGAAGGUGAUGAGGUUAAUAACCUUGUCAAUUGACGUUACCCGCAGAAGAAGCACCGGCUAACUCCGUGCCAGCAGCCGCGGUAAUACGGAGGGUGCAAGCGUUAAUCGGAAUUACUGGGCGUAAAGCGCACGCAGGCGGUCUGUCAAGUCGGAUGUGAAAUCCCCGGGCUCAACCUGGGAACUGCAUUCGAAACUGGCAGGCUAGAGUCUUGUAGAGGGGGGUAGAAUUCCAGGUGUAGCGGUGAAAUGCGUAGAGAUCUGGAGGAAUACCGGUGGCGAAGGCGGCCCCCUGGACAAAGACUGACGCUCA
rnacentral:rRNA from 1 species